GCCGAGACUAGAGUCACAUCCUGACAUAACUCUUGUCCUGGUGUGCUAGAGUACUCGGAGAGAAUCUACUGGUCUUGAUUCACUGGCGGGGGCCGUCGGUGCCCCCGUUAGUGCCCAGAUCAGAAACAUAC
ensembl:snoRNA